UAAUGGCACCAACUUGAUAAUAUAUCCUACUUAAUGUAGUAUAUUUUGUCUGUCUCCUCAUCUGAUUUAAUUUUUCUUAUCUCUUGAUCAUACUUCCCAAGGUUGCAUUUUCAAAUAAAUUUCUCAUAGACAUUAUAUUUGGCCCUGAUUUGUGGGAAAAGCAGGCUAAGGCAGAACUAAAGCAUAUGCUGUACUCAUAUAGUGAUGUUGCAUAAGGGAGAGGGAAUUAAAGGAUAUAGAAUGAAGCACCUAACAUGUGGUCUUGCUACCCUUAUGUGAUGUUGUAUGGUGCUAUAGAAUUGUUUUAAUUUUGUUUCUGGAAACUCUGAUAAUUACUUUUGCUGUAGGUUUUGAGGUAGUUUCUGAGCUCAUUGAAAGUUCUUUUGCUCACCAUUAAAAUGUCCUGCCUUUCUCUUUUGACUCUGGAGCAAUCUUCUACAAUAACUGCCUCCAUUGAUUAAAAAAGGGGCAACUAACUGGAAUGAGAGUAAGAAGGGUAGUUCUUAGAAAUAUGUAAGUUUUAAGUGAAUGAGAACAAUAAUUAAAAUGAUAAACCUCACAUUUUAAAAAUACUGUGUGUCAGGUACUGUGCUAAAUUCCAUCCUAAUAUCCCCAAGAUGCAGAUGUUAGUAUUAGCUCUAUUUUAUCUUUAAGAUGUUUAACUUCAACCCAGGUGACACUUGCCCUAAAGCUUGGCUUAGAUGACCUUAAGAUGUACUUUCCACAAAUGAGUUAAAGUUCUAGCUAUAAAAUUCAUAAAAUAUUUUAAUAAAAGCUCUGUAAAAAGUCAACACCCUGUCUGAGAUUCUGUUCCAUUUGAAAUGAAAAUCAAGCCUAAUAUAAACAAAUUACAACGAAGUUAGUUUUUGAUAUAUAAAACCCAGCUUUUAGGAUAUGAUGCUAUUUUUGAUGAAAUAUUGUAAGAGAACAAAGCUGCAUUUGACUUGAUUCUCUUGAUGAUACACUCAGAGUUUAUAAAUCUGUGUUGCUCCUGUGUCUGCACAGACAGAAUCUGGAGAUGUUAAUUUUUGUCAUUUGGCUUCUAGAUGUCCUUGGCGUGUACACCCUGUGGAAUCUGGUUCAUCUCCAAUCUGUCAGAAGGCAUCAGAGGUGGUUUUGACUCCGUAUGUCUUGGACCUGUGUACAAAAAGUGUAAAAUGGAUGGAACAUCAGACACCUCAUUAUAGAGACAAGCUAGCUCCAAUUCCAAAGUUGGUUGACAGAACAAGUCAUGGUGAGUAUUGUAAUUUUAGUGCUACUGUAUAUCUGCAAGCUGUCUGUGGGUAAAAUGCUUACUAAGCACUGCAUUGGGGCUGUCAGAAUGCUCAUGGGUUGGUAAUUAAAUAAAGACAGUGCUAUGGUUUUGUGGAGCUAAGCCAGUAUUUGUGCACUCUAGAAUAAUCUCUUCUAGGAAGCUUUUACUUUGGAAUUUAAGUUUUGGAGGAAGUACAUUUUACUUUCAUUGAGUAAACUUUCACUAAAAGCACACUUUCUAGGGCCUUUACUGAAAACAUUCAUUUCUGUUUUUCUGUGAUAAGUCAAUGCUCAAUUCACCUAGCAAAGAAGUCAAUUGUCAGCAGUGCUGGCCUUUACAGUUAGUUUUUCCCUCUCUCAAGUUGUAUCGUCAAUUACUAUUUUUAAAACACUCAACAAAAGAUUUGAAAGUAAAUAGAAAGACCUAAAAUAGAGCUGCCGG
rnacentral:lncRNA from 1 species